AAAGUUUGAUCCUGGCUCAAGACGAACGCUGGCGGCGCGCCUAACACAUGCAAGUCAAACGGAGCUUAUAGAGCUUGCUUUUUAAGCUUAGUGGCGAACGGGUGAGUAACGCGUGAGUAACCUGCCCUAGAGUGGGGGACAACAGUUGGAAACGACUGCUAAUACCGCAUAAGCCCCACGGUACCGCAUGGUACUGAGGGAAAAGGAUUUAUUCGCUUUAGGAUGGACUCGCGUCCAAUUAGCUAGUUGGUGAGGUAACGGCCCACCAAGGCGACGAUUGGUAGCCGGACUGAGAGGUUGAACGGCCACAUUGGGACUGAGACACGGCCCAGACUCCUACGGGAGGCAGCAGUGGGGGAUAUUGCACAAUGGGGGAAACCCUGAUGCAGCGACGCCGCGUGGAGGAAGAAGGUUUUCGGAUUGUAAACUCCUGUCGUUAGGGACGAUAAUGACGGUACCUAACAAGAAAGCACCGGCUAACUACGUGCCAGCAGCCGCGGUAAAACGUAGGGUGCAAGCGUUGUCCGGAAUUACUGGGUGUAAAGGGAGCGCAGGCGGGAAGACAAGUUGGAAGUGAAAACCAUGGGCUCAACCCAUGAAUUGCUUUCAAAACCGUUUUUCUUGAGUAGUGCAGAGGUAGAUGGAAUUCCCGGUGUAGCGGUGGAAUGCGUAGAUAUCGGGAGGAACACCAGUGGCGAAGGCGGUCUACUGGGCACCAACUGACGCUGAGGCUCGAAAGCAUGGGUAGCAAACAGGAUUAGAUACCCUGGUAGUCCAUGCCGUAAACGAUGAUUACUAGGUGUUGGGGGAUUGACCCCCUCAGUGCCGCAGUUAACACAAUAAGUAAUCCACCUGGGGAGUACGACCGCAAGGUUGAAACUCAAAGGAAUUGACGGGGGCCCGCACAAGCAGUGGAGUAUGUGGUUUAAUUCGAAGCAACGCGAAGAACCUUACCAGGUCUUGACAUCCGAUGCAUAGCACAGAGAUGUGUGAAAUCCUUCGGGACAUCGAGACAGGUGGUGCAUGGUUGUCGUCAGCUCGUGUCGUGAGAUGUUGGGUUAAGUCCCGCAACGAGCGCAACCCUUAUUGCCAGUUAUUACGUUAAGAGGACUCUGGCGAGACUGCCGUUGACAAAACGGAGGAAGGUGGGGAUGACGUCAAAUCAUCAUGCCCUCUAUGACCUGGGCUACACACGUACUACAAUGGCGUUAAACAAAGAGAAGCAAGACCGCGAGGUGGAGCAAAACUCAAAAACAACGUCUCAGUUCAGAUUGCAGGCUGCAACUCGCCUGCAUGAAGUCGGAAUUGCUAGUAAUCGCGGAUCAGCAUGCCGCGGUGAAUAAGAUCCCGGGCCUUGCACA
rnacentral:rRNA from 1 species